GACGAACGCUGGCGGCGUGCUUAACACAUGCCAGUCGAACGAAGUGGCGAACGGGUGAGUAACGCGUAAUCAACCUGCCCUUCAGAGGGGGCCAACAGUUGGAAAGUACUGCUCAUACCGCCUACUGCAGUAGGGGAUUGCGUCUGGUUUGCUAUUUGGAGGGGUAACGUCCCACCAAGGCGAUGAUCAGUAGCCGGUCUGUGAGGAUGACCGGCCACAUUGGGACUGAGACACGGCCCAGACUCCUACGGGAGGCAGCAGUGGGGAAUCUUCCGCAAUGGACGAAAGUCUGACGGAGCAACGCCGCGUGAGUGAUGACGGCCUUCGGGUUGUAAAGCUCUGUUAAUCGGGACGCGGUACCGGAAUAGAAAGCCACGGCUAACUACGUGCCAGCAGCCGCGGUAAUUC
rnacentral:rRNA from 1 species